UACAGAGGUCUCAAGCGUUGUUCGGAUUCAUUGGGCGUAAAGGGUGCGUAGGCGGCGCGGUAAGUCGGGUGUGAAAUCUCGGGCUUAACUCCGAAACUGCAUUCGAUACUGCCGUGCUUGAGGACUGGAGAGGAGACUGGAAUUUACGGUGUAGCGGUGAAAUGCGUAGAUAUCGUAAGGAAGACCAGUGGCGAAGGCGGGUCU
rnacentral:rRNA from 1 species